CAAGUCGAACGCGAAAGCCCCGCAAGGGGCAAGUAGAGUGGCAAACGGGUGAGUAACACGUGGGUGACCUGCCUUCGAGCGGGGGAUAACGUCCCGAAAGGGACGCUAAUACCGCAUGACAUCCUGCCUUUGAACAGGCGGAGAUCAAAGCUGGGGAUCGCAAGACCUAGCACUCGAAGAGGGGCCCGCGCCUGAUUAGCUAGUUGGUGAGGUAAUGGCUCACCAAGGCAACGAUCAGUAGCCGGCCUGAGAGGGCGGACGGCCACACUGGGACUGAGACACGGCCCAGACUCCUACGGGAGGCAGCAGUGGGGAAUUGUUCGCAAUGGGCGCAAGCCUGACGACGCAACGCCGCGUGGAGGAUGAAGAUCUUCGGGUCGUAAACUCCUUUCGAUCGAGACGAAUUCCUCCGGGGCGAAUAACUCCGGAGGGUGACGGUACCGAGAGAAGAAGCCCCGGCUAACUCCGUGCCAGCAGCCGCGGUAAUACGGGGGGGGCAAGCGUUGUUCGGAAUUACUGGGCGUAAAGGGCUCGUAGGCGGCCAACUAAGUCGGACGUGAAAUCCCUCGGCUUAACCGGGGAACUGCGUCCGAUACUGGAUGGCUUGAGUUUGGGAGAGGGAUGCGGAAUUCCAGGUGUAGCGGUGAAAUGCGUAGAUAUCUGGAGGAACACCGGUGGCGAAGGCGGCAUCCUGGACCAAUUACUGACGCUGAGUGAGCGAAAGCCAGGGGAGCAAACGGGAUUAGAUACCCCGGUAGUCCUGGCCCUAAACGAUGAAUGCUUGGUGUGGCGGGUAUCGAUCCCUGCCGUGCCGAAGCUAACGCAUUAAGCAUUCCGCCUGGGGAGUACGGUCGCA
rnacentral:rRNA from 1 species